rnacentral:sRNA from 1 species
CUUGGUCAUUUAGAGGAAGUAAAAGUCAUAACAAGGUUUCCGUAGGUGAACCUGCGGAAGGAUCAUUAAUAGUGCCCAUUGAUGCAAAUCAUUGGGUUAGAUCUGCCCUUAUCGCAAGAUGAGGGCUUCCAUAUACACCGUGAACUGUGGCUUCGGCCAUCACAAACUGUUAGUAAUGAAUGUAAUAUCAUAACAAAAACAAAACUUUUAACAACGGAUCUCUUGGCUCUCGCAUCGAUGAAGAACGCAGCGAAAUGCGAUAAGUAAUGUGAAUUGCAGAAUUCAGUGAAUCAUCGAAUCUUUGAACGCACCUUGCGCCCUUUGGUAUUCCGAAGGGCAUGCCUGUUUGAGUGUCAUGAAACCUCACCCCACUUAGGUUUUUGCCUAAGCGGUGGUGUAUUGGGUGUUUGCCUUGCUAAAGGCUCGCCUUAAAGAUAUAAGCACCUUGGAUGUAAUACGUUUCAUCCUUCUGGGUGGCUGAUAACCCCACAUACUCAUGAUCUGGCCUCAAAUCAGGUAGGGCUACCCGCUGAACUUAAGCAUAUCAAUAAGCGGAGGAAAAGAAACUAACUAGGAUUCCCUUAGUAACGGCGAGUGAACCGGGAUGAGCUCAAAUUUAAAAUCUGGCGUCUUUCAGGCGUCCGAGUUGUAAUCUAUAGAGGCGUUUUCCGCGCCGGACCGCGUCCAAGUCUCUUGGAAUAGAGUAUCAAAGAGGGUGACAAUCCCGUACUUGACGCGACAACCGGUGCUCUGUGAUACGUUCUCAAUGAGUCGAGUUGUUUGGGAAU